rnacentral:rRNA from 1 species
GAAGUUGGAAUUGCUAGUAAUCGCAGAUCAGAAUGCUGCGGUGAAUACGUUCCCGGGCCUUGUACACACCGCCCGUCACACCAUGGGAGCCGGUAAUACCCGAAGUCAGUAGUCUAACCGCAAGGGGGACGCUGCCGAAGGUAGGAUUGGCGACUGGGGUGAAGUCGUAACAAGGUAUC